rnacentral:rRNA from 1 species
AUUAGCUAGUUGGUGAGGUAAAGGCUUACCAAGGCGACGAUCNGUAGCUGGUCUGAGAGGAUGACCAGCCACACUGGGACUGAGACACGGCCCAGACUCCUACGGGAGGCAGCAGUGGGGAAUUUUGGACAAUGGGGGCAACCCUGAUCCAGCCAUGCCGCGUGAGUGAAGAAGGCCUUCGGGUUGUAAAGCUCUUUCNGCCGGAACGAAAUCGUCCGGGCUAAUACCCGUGAUGGAUGACGGUACCGGAAGAAGAAGCACCGGCUAACUACGUGCCAGCAGCCGCGGUAAUACGUAGGGUGCANGCGUUAAUCGGAAUUACUGGGCGUAAAGCGUGCGCAGGCGGNUUUNUAAGUCAGAUGUGAAAU